GGCCCUGUGGUGUAGUUGGUUAACAUAUCUCCCUGUCACGGAGAAGAUCGCCGGUUCGAGCCCGGUCGGGGUCGCCA
rnacentral:tRNA from 2 species